UGUAUAAUGGGUCAGCGACUUAUAUUCUGUAGCAAGGUUAACCGAAUAGGGGAGCCGAAGGGAAACCGAGUCUUAACUGGGCGUUAAGUUGCAGGGUAUAGACCCGAAACCCGGUGAUCUAGCCAUGGGCAGGUUGAAGGUUGGGUAACACUAACUGGAGGACCGAACCGACUAAUGUUGAAAAAUUAGCGGAUGACUUGUGGCUGGGGGUGAAAGGCCAAUCAAACCGGGAGAUAGCUGGUUCUCCCCGAAAGCUAUUUAGGUAGCGCCUCGUGAAUUCAUCUCCGGGGGUAGAGCACUGUUUCGGCAAGGGGGUCAUCCCGACUUACCAACCCGAUGCAAACUGCGAAUACCGGAGAAUGUUAUCACGGGAGACACACGGCGGGUGCUAACGUCCGUCGUGAAGAGGGAAACAACCCAGACCGCCAGCUAAGGUCCCAAAGUCAUGGUUAAGUGGGAAACGAUGUGGGAAGGCCCAGACAGCCAGGAUGUUGGCUUAGAAGCAGCCAUCAUUUAAAGAAAGCGUAAUAGCUCACUGGUCGAGUCGGCCUGCGCGGAAGAUGUAACGGGGCUAAACCAUGCACCGAAGCUGCGGCAGCGACGCUUAUGCGUUGUUGGGUAGGGGAGCGUUCUGUAAGCCUGCGAAGGUGUGCUG
rnacentral:rRNA from 1 species